GCUCGUGUAGCUCAGCCAGGUAGAGCGCCGCGCCGAAGACGCGGGCGUCGGUGGUUCGAAUCCAUCCUCGAGCA
rnacentral:tRNA from 1 species